GUUGAGAUGUUGGUUGUAAGUAUUUGUUCUUGGAAACUGAGUUAAAAGACAUGCAGGACAGCAAAAACACGAGAGUUGGAUACACUUGCAUGUUGAAGUAUUGAUUAGUUAUGCAUUCAUGUGUUCACUGUAUGCUCAUUUGGUUUUAAUUUUUAAAAGUUAAUCUUCAAGAACAUCAAGGGAAUCCUUGUCACUCCAACCCUGUCAAAGAAUCACAGGUAAACACACCUUUCUCUAUUUAGUUGUCAAAAGCUCAGCUUAGUUUCUUCCAACAUCUGAAGUAUUUUCUAAACAAGAGGAAACUUUUUCCCACAGCCUUAACUACUAAACAAUCUCAAAGCAAGUGAAAGCUAUGAUUAUAAUGAUGAAGCUAUAAGAGUUA
rnacentral:lncRNA from 1 species